UCAACGCUGGCGGCGUGCCUAACACAUGCAAGUCGAGCGCGAAAGUGGGCUUCGGCUCACGAGUAGAGCGGCGAACGGGUGAGUAACGCGUGGGUGAUCUGCCUCCGAGUGGGGAAUAACACUGGGAAACUGGUGCUAAUACCGCAUGACAUCCUCGGUUCGUUCCGAGGAUCAAAGCUGGGGACCGCAAGGCCUGGCGCUUGGAGAGGAGCCCGCGUCCGAUUAGCUUGUUGGCGGGGUAAUGGCCCACCAAGGCUUCGAUCGGUAGCCGGCCUGAGAGGGCGGACGGCCACACUGGGACUGAGACACGGCCCAGACUCCUACGGGAGGCAGCAGUGGGGAAUUUUUCGCAAUGGGGGAAACCCUGACGAAGCAACGCCGCGUGGAGGAUGAAGGCCCUCGGGUCGUAAACUCCUGUCGAUCGGGAAGAAUGCACUCGGCCGAAUACGCCGUUGUGUUGACUGUACCGGUGGAGGAAGCCACGGCUAACUCU
rnacentral:rRNA from 1 species